GGGGUCGACUGGUUUUGACAGCGAGAUUAAUUGAACGGUAAGCACGUCGUGUAAUGAUUUUGAGACACGUAAAAGGCUAAAUCGAACUUUAAACGGCGAGAAUAACUACGCUUUAGCUGCUUAAUCUGAAUAAAGUAAGAUAGGCCUAGUCCCGCAAGGCGGGAAAGCUAAAUGUCUCAGGAAAGCCUUGGUUAACGGCGUUCUUUUUUGAGGCAUCGUAAAAGUUAACAUAGAUUGGGUAGUGCUUUGAUGCCCUUUCGAAAUUUAAAAAGCUAAGUGGUAACUAGGUUGUCUUUAACCAGGUUGCCAUCGAAAACCCAAGAAAAGAAUACACGUGUAGAAAGCCCUUUGGUUACUUGUUUGGACCCGAGUUCGAAUCUCGGCGACUCCACAG
rnacentral:tmRNA from 1 species